rnacentral:rRNA from 1 species
GACGAACGCUGGCGGCGUGCUUAACACAUGCAAGUCGAACGGAAAGGCCCUGCUUUUGUGGGGUGCUCGAGUGGCGAACGGGUGAGUAACACGUGAGUAACCUGCCCUUGACUUUGGGAUAACUUCAGGAAACUGGGGCUAAUACCGGAUAGGAGCUCCUGCUGCAUGGUGGGGGUUGGAAAGUUUCGGCGGUUGGGGAUGGACUCGCGGCUUAUCAGCUUGUUGGUGGGGUAGUGGCUUACCAAGGCUUUGACGGGUAGCCGGCCUGAGAGGGUGACCGGCCAAAUUGGGAAUGAGAUACGGCCCAGACUCAUACGGGAGGCAGCAGUGGGGAAUAUUGCACAAUGGGCGGAAGCCUGAUGCAGCAACGCCGCGUGCGGGAUGACGGCCUUCGGGUUGUAAACCGCUUUCGCCUGUGACGAAGCGUGAGGGACGGGAAUGGGUAAAGAAGCACCGGCAAACUACGU